CAGCAGCCGCGGUAACACGUAGGGGGCAAACGUUGUCCGGAAUUACUGGGCGUAAAGCGCGCGUAGGCGGUCAAUUAAGUCAGGUGUGAAAGGCCCGGGCUUAACCCGGGUAUUGCACUUGAAACUGAUUGACUUGAGGACAGGCGAGGGAAGUGGAAUUCCUAGUGUAGCGGUGAAAUGCGUAGAUAUUAGGAAGAACACCAGUGGCGAAGGCGACUUCCUGGACUGUAACUGACGCUGAGGUGCGAAAGCGUGGGUAGCGAACAGGAUUAGAUACCCUGGUAGUCCACGCUGUAAACGAUGGAUACUAGGUGUAGGAGGUUUCAAUACCAUCUGUGCCGUAGUUAACGCAAUAAGUAUCCCGCCUGGGGAGUACGACCGCAAGGUUGAAACUCAAAGGAAUUGACGGGGGCCCGCACAAGCAGCGGAGCAUGUGGUUUAAUUCGAAGCAACGCGAAGAACCUUACCAGGGCUUGACAUCUCCUGCCAACUGUAGAAAUACAGCCUUCCCUUUUGGGACAGGAAGACAGGAGGUGCAUGGCC
rnacentral:rRNA from 1 species